rnacentral:rRNA from 1 species
UACGGGAGGCAGCAGUGAGGAAUAUUGGUCAAUGGGCGGGAGCCUGAACCAGCCAAGUAGCGUGCAGGAAGACGGCCCUACGGGUUGUAAACUGCUUUUAUGCGGGGAUAAAGUGGGCUACGCGUAGCCCUUUGCAGGUACCGCAUGAAUAAGGACCGGCUAAUUCCGUGCCAGCAGCCGCGGUAAU